rnacentral:rRNA from 1 species
UACGGGGGGAGCAAGCGUUGUUCGGAUUUACUGGGCGUAAAGGGCGCGUAGGCGGCCACCGCAAGUCGACUGUGAAAUCUCCGGGCUUAACUCGGAAAGGUCAGCCGAUACUGCGGGGCUAGAGUGCAGAAGGGGCAACUGGAAUUCUCGGUGUAGCGGUGAAAUGCGUAGAUAUCGGGAGGAACACCAGUGGCGAAGGCGGCUACCUGGCCCAUUCUUGACGCUGAGGCGCGAAAGUGUGGGGAGCGAACAGG